ACAAGUGGCGGCGGUGGUGGCGCACGAGGGAUGUUGGUGUGGCCCAGCAUCGUUGCUCUUUCAUUAGGAACAUUUUGUCGGUUUAUCACUUCUCUUUAACUCCGUCUUUACAAAAAAGUAUAUACUUUGAAGAGUAGAUAAAUAUAGGGAGAAAUAUAUAAUAAAAAGAAGUUAUAAUAAGUGUACGGUGUGCUCUGCUGAGCGGUCGCCCGUUAUACGAAUCAUUGUUGAAUUAAUUCUUAAUAAUAGGUACGAACAUAAAUAAUAACGUGAUAAUGGCGCUAAACCCGAUGUAUCGGGAGAUCGGCGAAGGUUUCGUCAAGCAGUAUUAUCAGUUAUUCGACGACCCGGUUCAGAGGCCAAGCCUUAUAAACAUGUACAACGAGCAAACGUCGUUCAUGUCGUUCGAGGGAUUGCAGCUCCAGGGUGCUGCUAAGAUAAUGGACAAACUCAAUAGUCUGCCGUUCCAAAACAUCACUAGAGUCAUAACGACCAUAGAUUGUCAACCAAUGUUCGACGGUGGAGUUCUAAUUAAAGUGCUAGGAAGGCUGAAGACCGAUGAGGAUCAGCCCCAUGCGUACACCCAGACAUUUGUUCUGAAGCCGAUUGGCACCAGCUUUUUCGUGCAGCACGACGUCUUCAGACUCGCGUUGCACGACAGCGCCUAAGGUGGUUAAACGACAGUGUCGAUCGUUGUGGCGAAUCUUCCUGAAUCGUGGCGGAUGACGAUCCACCUCAUCCAUUCUCGCAGAUAUUCGUGUUGUCGCCGUUGGCGAACUCAUACUUCUGUCAGCACGAUAUCUUCCGUCUCGGUAUCCACAACUCUGAGUAAAAAGUGAAGUAAAAAUUUUGUAAUAUUCACAAUCACUUGUCAAGAACAGAGAACAUAAUAAAACGAAAAGGACGUUUUGAGGUUCGUCGAUUGAGCGGUAAAACGAAUAACAGAUAAUAUUAAACGAGCCACGGUAAUCCUUCAACGAUCCAUAAUAAUGAAUUUGCAAGAAAUUAAAUGAAAAAAUAAAAUAAAAUAAACAAAUAAACGCGAAAGAGAAUCGAGUGAGCUUUAAAAAAAUGUUUGCCUAUCUUCUAUCCUAUUCGCUUCAUAAUCUCUCAUUAGAUUACAGCCAACAUUUGUUUUUUUCAUACAGCAAGAGAAGAAGGAAAUAUGAAAUCCAAAUCCUUUGGUGAAACAAAAAGCAACUAACGAAAAAUCCACAAAUUAUUACUUCAUUAUAUACUGCUACUAAUUCUUCAAUUUUAAUUCACGUGAUGAAAUUCAAUACUAAUUCAUAUGCAUAUGCGCUAACGUAGGAUGGCUACAAACAAAAAUAAUUACCAGGCACAACAAUAGACCCGAACUAUACAUACUAAAGCGCGAUGAAAAAACACGCGCGCGUCCAGUCCGCUGACUACCAUCCAAACACGAUGAUCCGCGGCUUCCUCGAUAUCUGCCUCGACGCGCGACAAAUCAUUCGAAACGAUCAAACGUAUGUAACAUAUUUUAUAAUUACUCGAUGCUCUGUAUUUUUGUAACUUAAGAGUUGAAUGUUAAAUACACAAUGUAACAGAAAAAGUA